rnacentral:rRNA from 1 species
UACGUAGGGACCAAGCGUUGUUCGGAAUUACUGGGCGUAAAGGGCGCGUAGGCGGCCUGUUAAGUCGAACGUGAAAUCCCCGGGCUCAACCCGGGAACUGCGUCCGAUACUGGCAGGCUUGAAUCCGGGAGAGGGAUGCGGAAUUCCAGGUGUAGCGGUGAAAUGCGUAGAUAUCUGGAGGAACACCGGUGGCGAAGGCGGCAUCCUGGACCGGCAUUGACGCUGAGGCGCGAAAGCCAGGGGAGCAAACGGG